rnacentral:rRNA from 1 species
AUUGAACGCUGGCGGAAUGCUUUACACAUGCAAGUCGAGCGGCAGCGCGGGGCAACCUGGCGGCGAGCGGCGAACGGGUGAGUAAUGUAUCGGAACGUGUCCUGUCGUGGGGGAUAGCCCGGUGAAAACCGGAUUAAUACCGCAUACGAUCGAGAGAUGAAAGUGGGGGACCGCAAGGCCUCACGCGAUAGGAGCGGCCGAUAUCUGAUUAGCUAGUUGGUGGGGUAAAGGCCCACCAAGGCGACGAUCAGUAGCUGGUCUGAGAGGAUGAUCAGCCACACUGGGACUGAGACACGGUCCAGACUCCUACGGGAGGCAGCAGUAGGGAAUAUUGGACAAAUGGGGGCGAACCCUGAUCCAGCCAUGCCGCGUGAGUGAAGAAGGCCCUCGGGUUGUAAAGCUCUUUUGUCCGGAAAGAAAAGCAAUCGGUUAAUACCCGGUUGUUCUGACGGUACCGGAAGAAUAAGCACCGGCUAACUUCGUGCCAGCAGCCG